ensembl:lncRNA
UAUUGCCAUUUUACCAUUAAAUUAAAUUAUUUAACUUGGCCAUUAUUUAAUUUUAAUUACUUAACUAAAUUUUAAUUAAAAAAUCAACUGGAUGAUAAAAGAGGGAAAAAAAAGGUUUUGUAAAUAUACAGCCUUUGUGCACUUAAAUUAUUUCUCAUAAGUGAAUUUUAUUUUAUUUUAUUUUAUUUUAUUUUAGCAGCGGCAUUUUACCCUUAAAUUAAAUUAAAUUAUAUUAAUAUUAAUUAUUUAACUAAAUUAUCGUUAUAAAUCACCUAGCUGAUAAAACUGUAUAGUAAAUAAACACCUGAAUGGUUGCAGGCGUGUUGGACAUAUUACAAAAAAACUCUCACACUGCCAUAGCUUUUUAGAAAUCUAAUAUUUUUUGGCACAGCAAUAAAUAUUUGGAUAUGCAGCCUUCUUGGGGUAUUUCACAUUGUUAGUCGCGUGACUGAACAUUUUUCCCAAUAUUGAAUUUCUUGCAAGUUGCAACAGGGCACUCACAUUUUCUUUAAACAUUAUUUGUCUUAUUUAAACCUUGUAUGCACAGUGUGGUCAAGGUAUGUGGAGUGAAUCAUUGCUGUGUGGUGACCUCUGUGGCUCCAGCCACUCAGAUUUCCAUGGCAGAGCAUGGGCACAGCUUUGGGAAUUCUGACCGCCUGUAUGAGAGACAAAGACACCCACAGCUGCAGCAACCACAAAAACACUCUGGGCGUCCCCUUCUCAGGCCUGAUAUCAGAAAGACAGAGGCUGUAUGGAUAGAUGGAAUUGGAGUUCACCAGAAUGGUAUUGUAUCCUCCUAACGGAAGACAAGAUUUGGCAUAGGCGUUCCUUCUCAUAACCAGACUUCCUAAACAGAGAUGGUUCAGCCAAAGGAGACAUUUCUACUCACCUGGAACAAGGUAACUGAGGGCGGUGACCCCGGCAGCACGCAGAGACGUCAGAAGCCCGAGGCGUGUCCGCCCCUCCCUGAGUAUCUUCCAUUGUUUGCUCAAUGCCUGUCGGUUCGAGGAGAUUCCUUGUGCCAUAAUGGGCUAUUAUUUGUGCUCAAGCUCUAUUCAAGCCAUAAUGACUUACGCCAGUUUUCCCGGCCCCUGGAGACCUGCAUGCGUAUGGUGCACAACUCAGGAGAAGAGAUAGCCUUUGUACUCGCCUUUUACAGGCUGAUCUAA